AUUGAACGCUGGCGGCAUGCUUUACACAUGCAAGUCGAACGGUAACAGGCCUUCGGGUGCUGACGAGUGGCGAACGGGUGAGUAAUGCAUCGGAACGUGCCCUGAGGUGGGGGAUAACGCAGCGAAAGCUGUGCUAAUACCGCAUGUGAUCUGAGGAUGAAAGCGGGGGACCAGGCAGCAAUGUUUGGCCUCGCGCCUUUGGAGCGGCCGAUGUCAGAUUAGGUAGUUGGUGGGGUAAAGGCCUACCAAGCCGACGAUCUGUAGCUGGUCUGAGAGGACGACCAGCCACACUGGGACUGAGACACGGCCCAGACUCCUACGGGAGGCAGCAGUGGGGAAUUUUGGACAAUGGGCGCAAGCCUGAUCCAGCAAUGCCGCGUGCGGGAAGAAGGCCUUCGGGUUGUAAACCGCUUUUGUACGGAACGAAAAGGCUCUGGCUAAUACCUGGGGCUGAUGACGGUACCGUAAGAAUAAGCACCGGCUAACUACGU
rnacentral:rRNA from 1 species